CUUUCCUGGAACAACUAAAAUUUCAGUGAUUCUGACUGGGAGUUUACUAGGGGGUUGUGUCUAUUUCCCCUUCGUGGAAAGGACCUGGAUGUGACAUCUAGUGAGGGCAGAAAUGGUUGUCUGCCCUUACAGCAUGUAUUUGUUUCCUCCAUUUUCUGUUUUUUGUUAUUUUAUGUAUGAUGCAUUGGAUCCUUACGGUAUCUCUCUCCGCUUCGCUCACCAAUGGUUACUAUUCCAAAUAGUUUGUGACGUGGACCCAGUGAAUUAUGGGAAAAGUCUUCUCGACGAAGGGCAACUAGACGCUACCCUUUCCUAGGGGAGGAAGUAGGAGGAAACUGGAAAGAAGCCAUAUGUAUGAGUCUCAGUGUAGCCACGUUACGUAGAAAGCAGUGUGGCACGGACCGAGAUGUCAUCAGUCAGAAUGUCACCAGCUUGUUGCCCUCUCAUAAUUCUUGGCAUUCUUGCGAGUGUCUCCCUUAUUAAAUGUCAGAACUUUCCUACGUUCAUGAAUAAACACAUUCUUGAAGAUCAAGACCGCAUCAAUUGCAACGUAACCAUUAAAGAUCGCAACCUCAAUACGCAAUCUUGCCGAUUUCGUAACACGUUCAUUCAUGACACAGGUGCGAAGAAAGUCAAGCAGAUGUGUUCUCCGUAUGUGACGUCUACAGUGGUUGCGAGUGAUAGUGCACUAAAACUCACUGAUUGUAGCUUGAUAAGAUCUCCAUCAUCAACGGGCUGUUCCUACAGUCAGAAAGGAGUGAAGGGCAUUGUGUAUGUCACAUGUGAGAGACACCUUCCUGUGCACUUCUCUAAAUACGAGAAAAGUUCCUGUGCAUCGUGGUCUCCCUGUGCAUGGAAACUACUUCUGCUUCUUCUCCUUAGAGAAUUUCUAUAAAUCUACUUUAUCAGAUUUUUUUUUUUUUCUUUUCAAGAAGUGGUAUGAUGCUUUGUACAGUAUGAAGGGGGCAAAUCAAUCCAGAGUGGUGUAGUGUAGGCAAUGUGCCCUCAAAGUGACAUUACAUUGCAACGCAAAAUUGCUAAUUUUCCCUUACACUCCCAAAGGGAUUGGCUGUAAAAUUAGCGAUGUUGGACUAGCAUAGGUAUCGGCUAUGUGUGCAGCCACACAUCGUGACCCAACUUGAAUUGCCCCUAAAAGAUAUCUAUCAAGUUUACAAGUCAUUUAGCAGAAGAUGGGGGUGUUCUUAGCUCAAGUGGAAUAUGUGUCAAACAUCAAUAUGGUGCUAUAGUAUAUAAGAUGUCAGAAGUACGUUAAUAACAUGAAAUAUUAAGAGUAAAAUAGUUACAGUUUACCUUAAUGGUACAGUAACACGUUGCUAUAGCAGGUAAAUCAUUCUAUUACACAAUUUGAAGAUUACAGCUUACAUUGGGCGUUUGCUUUUCUUAUAAGCCUUUAUUAGUACCACUUAAUGAUUUUGUUUUUCAUUGAAAAAGAUGUAAAAAUAAUUCACGUCCGCUGCAUUGUUCCUUUUCAUACCUUAACGCUAUGCUUAUUCUUUAUUCAUUAUCCUUAUCUGCUUUUCAGUGAAAGCCUCCUACACCUAGCCUUAAUACGCCAUGUGGUACGAGAGAGCGGUGUAGCAGGGUGACUCUGUUUAAAUUUGCCUCUUAUACGCAGAGCAGAUGCUGCAAAACACAGCUCAGUUUGUAUCAGAGACUCCGGCCUGCGACUUUAACCGCACAGGAAUGUGCCGUAAAUAGCACUAUGUUAAUCCUAUGCUAUUCUUGAAUUCAAUAUAGAAUGUAUACUUUCACUGCCUAUGUCUAUUGAUAUUUAUUAUAUAUAUGUUUAGUUUGGUAUGAAUAUUUGGUUUUCACAUAAACAUACAAUAGUCUAUAUGCAGAACAUAAUUUCUCUGUAUAUCUAUAUAUAUAUAUAUAUAUAUAUAUAUAUAUCAAAGGCAAAUACCACUGACUCAUCACAAAAUCUCCAGAACCAUAAGGACUAGGAACUGGACAUUUGAACAGUAGACUGCUUUUGAGAUAUAGGCACCCACUAAGAAGGGAUUUUUAAAAAUUCAAACACAAAGGGGUUAAAAGGGGUGAGAUGAUUAUUGGGCAUUCUCUCCUCACAGAGGAGAGUUAAGACAGCCCACCCAGCCAGGGCUAUAAAGAACGCAUGGCCAGCAAUAUCAAGUAGUGGUGGGGGGGAGGACACAGUGCUGUGUUCCUGGAAUCCUUGCCAGUGGCUGUUGCGCAGUCCAUUAUUCAAACAACUGCCACCCCUAAACACUGUCAAACUUCGCUGGCUGUGGCUUCCCUAUUUGGGAAGCCCUGCCUUAUGGUUCAGGAGAUUUUGUGAUGAAUCAGUGGUAUUUGCUAUAUAUAUAUAUAUAUAUAUAUUUCAGAUAUAGGUAUUUAACCAACCUAUUUCCAGUCAGGAGAGAAUAGUGUCUCAAUUAUCAGAGGUUAACCUGUCACUUGAACUUAACAUUGGCCAACCUCUCAGAGAGCAAAAGGAGGCAUAGAUAUUUUGGCUCUUAAAUGCAUUAAAGGGAAGCUUGACAGUCGGCAACUGAUUAUCUGCUGUGUAAAGAGUACUGACAGCUCUCCCAGUGACCAUUUUUACCUCAGAGGAGGAGCCCUAAUGAGAGCGAGAAGCUAGGCAAGUAGUACUAGGGCCCUUUAUAUAGAGUCAGCCUAUCCCCGCAAACCUUACAUAUUUAACAUUCUGCGGGUGGAGUUUGGCCUGUCUUCCCAGCAUUUACAGCACUGAGCAGGACAGCAUCAGAAGCGGGACAGGGCAGAGAAGGAGGUGGAUUAUUCUCCUCAGCACCAGCCUUUUGACAGCAUCAAAAAUCCGAGAAUCCCUCUGAUCCCAUCAGACUACCACUUCCAGUUCAAACGGCUGCAGUUCCCGGUAAAGAUCUGCUAUGCCAUGACCAUUAGCAAAGCUCAGGGACAGAGUUUGAAAGUGACUGGUGUAGAGUGACUGCUUCUCCCAUGGCCAUUUGUAUGGGGAUGCGGUUACAUUGCCGGCAUUCAGAGUCCCGUCAGUCAGGAGAUUGACGCCAGAAUCCCAACCACUGACAAUGCCGCCAGCCGGAUUCCCGGCUAAUAAAGCCGAUUCCCGCUUGUGGGUGUCCAUGACACAAAGUGGGAAUAGAACUCGUGGCAAGCUUGCAACCGCCCCCUUCCCUCCCUGGCGGCCGGAUCCCAUACCCAAUGCUUUAUAUGUUGCCUGUUCCAGAGUCAGCUCCUCUGACAGCCUGGCCAUUCUCCAGCCUGAAAGAAAAGACUAAAAAUGUAGUUUACAAGGAAGUCCUUCAAAAUUAAAGUGCCAUGCCAAUAUAAUAAUAAUCUAUUAAUUGCAUUUGAGUAAUUUGUUGAUUUUAUUCAUAUAUACCACAAAUGUUAUAUAUGUAGUUUUGUAUGUAAAAUGUUUAAAAGCAGUAUUAAAUUUGCUUAAAUACCA